UGGGGAAUAUUGCACAAUGGGCGCAAGCCUGAUGCAGCCAUGCCGCGUGUGUGAAGAAGGCCUUCGGGUUGUAAAGCACUUUCAGCGAGGAGGAAGGUGGUGAGCUUAAUACGCUCAUCAAUUGACGUUACUCGCAGAAGAAGCACCGGCUAACUCCGUGCCAGCAGCCGCGGUAAUACGGAGGGUGCAAGCGUUAAUCGGAAUUACUGGGCGUAAAGCGCACGCAGGCGGUUUGUUAAGUCAGAUGUGAAAUCCCCCGGGCUCAACCUGGGAACUGCAUUUGAAACUGGCAAGCUAGAGUCUCGUAGAGGGGGGUAGAAUUCCAGGUGUAGCGGUGAAAUGCGUAGAGAUCUGGAGGAAUACCGGUGGCGAAGGCGGCCCCCCUGGACGAAGACUGACGCUCAGGUGCGAAAGCGUGGGGCAGCAAACAGGAUUAGAUACCCUGGUAGUCCACGCUGUAAAGCGAUGUUCGAUUUGGAGGCUUGUGCCCUUGAGGCG
rnacentral:rRNA from 1 species